UACCAGCACCCCGAGUGGUCGGGACGAUUAUUGGGCCUAAAGCAUCCGUAGCCGGUUCUGCAAGUCCCCCGUUAAAUCCAGCUGCUCAACAGAUGGGCCGCGGAGGAUACUACAGAGCUAGGAGGCAGGAGAGGCAAGCGGUACUCAGUGGGUAGGGGUAAAAUCCGUUGAUCCAUUGAAGACCACCAGUGGCGAAGGCGGCUUGCCAGAAUGCGCUCGACGGUGAGGGUUGAAAGCUGGGGGAGCAAACCGG
rnacentral:rRNA from 1 species